AGAGUUUGAUUCUGGCUCAGAACGAACGCUGGCGGCGCGUUUAAGCAUGCAAGUCGAGCGGCAAGGGCCUUCGGGCCCCUAGAGCGGCGGACGGGUGAGUAACACGUGGACAAUCUGCCCCCCGGCCCGGGAUAGCCCAGGGAAACCUGGAUUAAUACCGGAUGAGACGGGACCCGCGAUGGCGGGAUCCGGGAAAGGCGCUGCGGCGCCGCCGGGGGAUGAGUCUGCGUCCCAUUAGCUAGACGGCGGGGUAACGGCCCACCGUGGCGACGAUGGGUAGCCGGCCUGAGAGGGUGGACGGCCACAUUGGAACUGAGACACGGUCCAGACUCCUACGGGAGGCAGCAGCUAAGAAUCUUCCGCAAUGGGCGAAAGCCUGACGGAGCGACGCCCGCGUGAACGAAGAAGGCCGUGAGGUUGUAAAGUUCUUUUCGGGAGGGGGAACAACCGUGGCAGGGAAUGGCUGCGGGAUGACGUGAAUCCCGGAAUAAGCCCCGGCUAACUACGUGCCAGCCGCCGC
rnacentral:rRNA from 1 species